CAAAUUGCAAUUUUUUGGCGGGAGAAGAAAAACAGACGGAGGAUACGGGGGUGAAGUAAAAUGACUGACAAUUAGUGACAGAGUAGAAAGAAACGUUGUAAGGUCGAGGAAUAGACUUUGAGGUGUCUAACUAUUGAAGA